AUGAACGCUAGCUACAGGCUUAACACAUGCAAGUCGAGGGGCAGCAUGGUCUUAGCUUGCUAAGGCCGAUGGCGACCGGCGCACGGGUGAGUAACACGUAUCCAACCUGCCGUCUACUCUUGGACAGCCUUCUGAAAGGAAGAUUAAUACAAGAUGGCAUCAUGAGUCCGCAUGUUCACAUGAUUAAAGGUAUUCCGGUAGACGAUGGGGAUGCGUUCCAUUAGAUAGUAGGCGGGGUAACGGCCCACCUAGUCUUCGAUGGGUAGGGGUUCUGAGAGGAAGGUCCCCCACAUUGGAACUGAGACACGGUCCAAACUCCUACGGGAGGCAGCAGUGAGGAAUAUUGGUCAAUGGGCGAGAGCCUGAACCAGCCAAGUAGCGUGAAGGAUGACUGCCCUAUGGGUUGUAAACUUCUUUUAUAAAGGAAUAAAGUCGGGUAUGGAUACCCGUUUGCAUGUACUUUAUGAAUAAGGAUCGGCUAACUCCGUGCCAGCAGCCGCGGUAAUACGGAGGAUCCGAGCGUUAUCCGGAUUUAUUGGGUUUAAAGGGAGCGUAGAUGGAUGUUUAAGUCAGUUGUGAAAGUUUGCGGCUCAACCGUAAAAUUGCAGUUGAUACUGGAUAUCUUGAGUGCAGUUGAGGCAGGCGGAAUUCGUGGUGUAGCGGUGAAAUGCUUAGAUAUCACGAAGAACUCCGAUUGCGAAGGCAGCCUGCUAAGCUGCAACUGACAUUGAGGCUCGAAAGUGUGGGUAUCAAACAGGAUUAGAUACCCUGGUAGUCCACACGGUAAACGAUGAAUACUCGCUGUUUGCGAUAUACUGCAAGCGGCCAAGCGAAAGCGUUAAGUAUUCCACCUGGGGAGUACGCCGGCAACGGUGAAACUCAAAGGAAUUGACGGGGGCCCGCACAAGCGGAGGAACAUGUGGUUUAAUUCGAUGAUACGCGAGGAACCUUACCCGGGAUUAAAUUGCAGAUGAAUUACGGUGAAAGCCGUAAGCCGCAAGGCAUCUGUGAAGGUGCUGCAUGGUUGUCGUCAGCUCGUGCCGUGAGGUGUCGGCUUAAGUGCCAUAACGAGCGCAACCCUUGUUGUCAGUUACUAACAGGUUCCGCUGAGGACUCUGACAAGACUGCCAUCGUAAGAUGUGAGGAAGGUGGGGAUGACGUCAAAUCAGCACGGCCCUUACGUCCGGGGCUACACACGUGUUACAAUGGGGGGUACAGAGGGCCGCUACCACGCGAGUGGAUGCCAAUCCCCAAAACCUCUCUCAGUUCGGACUGGAGUCUGCAACCCGACUCCACGAAGCUGGAUUCGCUAGUAAUCGCGCAUCAGCCACGGCGCGGUGAAUACGUUCCCGGGCCUUGUACACACCGCCCGUCAAGCCAUGGGAGCCGGGGGUACCUGAAGUGCGUAACCGCGAGGAGCGCCCUAGGGUAAAACUGGUGACUGGGGCU
rnacentral:rRNA from 1 species